rnacentral:SRP_RNA from 1 species
CCGUGCUAGACGGGGAGGUAGCGGUGCCCUGUACCUGCAACCCGCUAUAGCAGGGUCGAAUUCCGGCCCCCGGUUUCGUAUUUUUAGGGACUGACCCGGGCAAGUAGCGUUGACGGCCGGGUCCCGUGCGGCGUAAGCUUGUGAACCCCGUCAGGUCCGGAAGGAAGCAGCGGUAAGCAAGUACUUGCGGGUGCCACGGGGUAGCCUGGCUUGAGCCAACUACCAGGGUAACGCCUAGGAAAAGAAAUCAAAGGCCGGUGCACGG